GCUAAAAACCUAGCCCAACUGAUCAUGAAUUUUACAAAAACAACUUUCUUACCUUAAUAAAUCAUUUUUAAAUUUUAGUAAAGGAGAUUGAAAAAUUUAUUGGAGCUAUAAAAAUAGUACCGCAAGGGAAUGGUGAAAUAUUUAAUGAAAAAGCUUAAGCAAAAAAAAGUAAAGAUUACCCCUUGUACCUUUUGCAUCAUGGUUUAACUAGUUUAAUCAAGCAAAAUGCAUUUAAGUUUGACUCCCCGAAACUAAGUGAGCUACUUCAGGGCAGCUGAAAGAGCGAACCCGUCUCUGUAGCAAAAGAGUGGGAUGACCUUCAAGUAGCGGUGACAGACCUAACGAACUUAGUGAUAGCUGGUUACUCAAGAAACGGAUUUUAGUCCAACCUAAAACUCAUUCUUUUAGUUUAUCUAAACAGUCUUAUGGUUUUUAGAGUAAUUCAAAUAAGGUACAGCCUAUUUGAAACAGGAUACAACCUAAACUCGUGGAUAAAAUUGGCUCUAUAUACAACCAAGUGGGCCUAAAAGCAGCCAUCUUUAAAAUAGCGUCAAAGCUUAAUUGUAAAUACGCCUAAUUACCCAAUAAUUAUUUUAAUCCCCACCCAAUAUUGAGUAAUUCUAUAUUUAUAUAGAAAAUUUUAUGUUAAAACUAGUAACAAGAAGAAGAUACUUCUCUUUAAUGUAAGUGUAAAUCAGAAAGGACAAACCACUGAUAAUUAACGUCACUGAAACAAAAGUAGAAACUCACCUAGAAAAAUCUACUCUUACCAACGUUAACCUAACACAAGAACAUCAAAAGAAAGAUUAAAAGAAAAAGAAGGAACUCGGCAAACAUUAACCUCGCCUGUUUACCAAAAACAUCGCCUCUUGAUUUCUGAUAAGAGGUCCAGCCUGCCCAGUGACCAUGUUCAACGGCCGCGGUAUCCUAACCGUGCGAAGGUAGCGUAAUCACUUGUUCUUUAAAUGUGGACUAGUAUGAACGGCUUCACGAAGGUUAUACUGUCUCCUUUUUCUAAUCAGUGAAACUAAUUUCCCCGUGAAGAAGCGGGGAUAAAGCUAUAAGACGAGAAGACCCUAUGGAGCUUAAAACGACACAGCACUUACCAAAAAUUUUUAAUGUUUCUGUAACACUAAUUCUUUAAAGUAAAAUGACUGCAAGUUUUCGGUUGGGGUGACCACGGAGUAUAUCAUAACCUCCAUGUUGAAAGAAUUUCUUUCUAAGCCAAGAAUAACCAAUCUAAGCAUUAAUAAAUUAACAUCUAUUGACCCAAUAAAUUUGAUCAACGAACCAAGUUACCCUAGGGAUAACAGCGCAAUCCACUUCAAGAGCUCCUAUCGACAAGUGGGUUUACGACCUCGAUGUUGGAUCAGGGUAUCCCAGUGGUGCAGCCGCUACUAAAGGUUCGUUUGUUCAACGAUUAAAACCCUACGUGAUCUGAGU
rnacentral:rRNA from 1 species